rnacentral:rRNA from 1 species
CGGAGGGUGCAAGCGUUGUUCGGAAUUACUGGGCGUAAAGGGCGCGUAGGCGGUUUGAUAAGUCAGAUGUGAAAGCCCACGGCUUAACCGUGGAAGUGCAUUUGAUACUGUUAGACUUGAGUACCAGAGGGGAAAGUGGAAUUCCCGGUGUAGAGGUGAAAUUCGUAGAUAUCGGGAGGAAUACCGGUGGCGAAGGCGACUUUCUGGCUGGAUACUGACGCUGAGGCGCGAAAGCGUGGGGAGCAAACAGGAUU